rnacentral:lncRNA from 1 species
UAAUAAGCAAGAGAAAUGAAUAGGCAUUUAAACGUCCAAAAUUAAUACAAUUACGAAUAUAUAUAUAUAUAUAUAUAUAUAUAUAUAUAUAUAUAUAUAUAUAUAUAUAUAUAUAUAUAUAUAUUAAAAAACAUGGUGUGUGUGUGUGUAUACAAUCUAUUAAUAAACUUAUUUUGAACGUAUAAAUGCUUAUUAAUGGAUUAUUGCGAUAUAUAAAUAUAUAUAUACCGUAUAUCUCUCUCUGUGUGUGUGUGUGUGUGUGUGUUAUUCCUGUUUGUUUAUCCAUCCAUUAUAAUAUGUAGUUUGGUGAUCUACUAUUUUUUUGAUUUGUUCUUCUCUUUUUCUGCAGAUUCCUUAAUCCCUGUCCUUUAAAAAAAACAGCACCUCAUUACAUUAGGCACUUCUAAGAGCCACAUUUGGCUUGUUUAUUGUCUUAUUUGUAUUUUUUUAUUGUCUUGUUAUUUCUCUCUCUCUCUCUCUCUCACACUCUAUCUCUAUCUCUCACUCUCUCUCCAUCCCUGACUCUCUCCCCUACCAUCUGAGUGGUGGUUGUUUUUUAGAGGGACGGAGGAACUGGGUUGCUGCCUCUUCUUCAGUCACUUUAAUCAACUGAAAGUGUAAAGAAUGACAAAGCCAAAAUUCAGGCCUUGCCCAAGCUGCCAGGUCCGUCAGCAGGCUAACCGCAAAACCUGCAGUGCUUGUUUUGCCACACUGCCAAGCAAGCGGUUAUUGAAAACUGCAAAAAUUAAUGAUGACUGGGGCCAGAGGGUCAUCAAAAACAAAAAUGCAUCUCGGGUGGUGGCCUCUGCCCAAAUAGCUGUCCAAAAACUUUCUGCCUUGGGCUAUAUGCCCAUAUUAUUUAUCAGCCAGAGGCACAAGGGCACAGGAAAAUUGAUGGCAGAUGUAGUAACGCAUCUGCCACCGACGCAGAACAACACACGUUUCUUAACCAGCAUGAAGAGGGCAUAUGACUUCAUGAUCAAACUGGAUGGUAAGAUAAGUUUUAUGUAUAGUUCAUUAGUGUUUGUCGUUGAUUUCUUUGACAAUUUGUACUGA